rnacentral:tRNA from 1 species
GGUGGGUUGGCUCAGUGGUUAGAGCUUAGAUCUCAUUACCGAAAGGUCGCGGGAUCGAAUCCCGCUAGAGGCUG